rnacentral:rRNA from 1 species
ACACUGCCCAGACACCUACGGGUGGCUGCAGUCGAGAAUCUUGCACAAUGGGCGAAAGCCUGACGCAGCGACGUCGCGUGAGCGAUGAAGGUCUUCGGAUCGUAAAGCUCUGUCUUUGGGGAAGAAAUUUUGAGCGACCCAAGGAGGAAGCCCCGGCUAAACUCGUGCCAGCCGCCGCGGUAAUACGAGUGGGGCAGACGUUAUUCGGAAUCACUGGGCUUAAAGGGUGCGUAGGCGGCGAUGAAGGUCUGAUGUGAAAUACCACGGCUCAACCGUGGAAUGGCAUUGGAAACCACAUUGCUGGAGUGAGACAGAG